UACGUAGGGGGGCAAGCGUUGUCCGGAAUCAUUGGGCGUAAAGAGCGUGUAGGCGGCCCGGUAAGUCCGUUGUGAAAGUCCAGGGCUCAACCCUGGAAAGCCGAUGGAUACUGCCGGGCUAGAGUUCGGAAGAGGCGAGUGGAAUUCCUGGUGUAGCGGUGGAAUGCGCAGAUAUCAGGAGGAACACCUAUAGCGAAGGCAGCUCGCUGGGACGACACUGACGCUGAGACGCGAAAGCGUGGGGAGCGAACAGG
rnacentral:rRNA from 1 species